rnacentral:piRNA from 1 species
UGGAAGAAAAACAAAAACCCACCAAGC